UAAUACGAAGGGGGCUAGCGUUGUUCGGAAUCACUGGGCGUAAAGCGCACGUAGGCGGACAUUUAAGUCAGGGGUGAAAGCCUGGAGCUCAACUCCAGAACUGCCCUUGAUACUGGGUGUCUCGAGUCCGGAAGAGGUAAGUGGAACUGCGAGUGUAGAGGUGAAAUUCGUAGAUAUUCGCAAGAACACCAGUGGCGAAGGCGGCUUACUGGUCCGGUACUGACGCUGAGGUGCGAAAGCGUGGGGAGCAAACAGG
rnacentral:rRNA from 1 species